AUGCAGAAGAAUGAGGCAUAAAUUGGCUAGACAGAUUUCUAAGUCCUUGAGACAAUGUAAUUCGAGUAGCAACAUCGCGGCUAUUGAAGUCAAUAGGGAUGAUCUGUUGCUCUUCUCUCAACAAUUGCCAGAGACUGGAGAUGGCAUAAUUGAAUCCUUUCUUUGCUAGGAUUUCAUCUGAGUUUGAGGAGUUGUUAACAUUGGAUACUAGUGUGGUGUUACAACAGAUGAAAGGGGAAAAAACAUGGUUAAUCACC
rnacentral:lncRNA from 1 species